GGAGUAGGCGGUCCUUCAAGUCAGAUGUGAAAUCUCUCGGCUUAACUGAGAGCGGUCACUUGAUACUGUCGGACUAGAGUGCAUCAGAGGGAGACGGAAUUCCCGGUGUAGUGGUGGAAUGCGUAGAUAUCGGGAGGAACACCUGUGGCGAAAGCGGUCUCCUGGGGUGUGACUGACGCUGAGGUCCGAAGGCGUGGGGAGCAAACAGGAUUAGAUACCCUGGUAGUC
rnacentral:rRNA from 1 species